rnacentral:RNase_P_RNA from 1 species
GAGGAAAGUCCGGGCUUCACAGGGCAGGAUGCCGGAUAACAUCCGGUGGAGGCGACUCCAAGGACAGUGCAACAGAAAUGUACCGCCACAGGUUUCCUGUGGUAAGGGUGGAAGGGCAGCUUAAGAGACUACCGCCUCCCUGGUAACAGGGAGGGCACAUGUAAACCCCAUCCGAAGCAAGGCCAAAUGCGGGGCAUAAGGCGGCCCGUCUGCCCCCGGUAGGCCGCGUGAGGGUGCCGGUAACGGCACUCCAAGAUAGAUGGCUGCUUGAUACAUAACCCGGCUUAUAGUCAGGCUUG